GAUGAACGCUGGCUACAGGCUUAACACAUGCAAGUCGAGGGGAAACGACGGGGAAGCUUGCUUCCCCGGGCGUCGACCGGCGCACGGGUGAGUAACGCGUAUCCAACCUGCCUCUGACUGAGGGAUAACCCGUCGAAAGUCGGCCUAAUACCUCAUGGCAUCGUCUGCGGGCAUCCAACGACGAUUAAAGAUUUCAUCGGUCAGGGAUGGGGAUGCGUCUGAUUAGCUUGUUGGCGGGGUAACGGCCCACCAAGGCUACGAUCAGUAGGGGUUCUGAGAGGAAGGUCCCCCACAUUGGAACUGAGACACGGUCCAAACUCCUACGGGAGGCAGCAGUGAGGAAUAUUGGUCAAUGGGCGGGAGCCUGAACCAGCCAAGUAGCGUGCAGGAUGACGGCCCUAUGGGUUGUAAACUGCUUUUAUGCGGGGAUAAAGUGAGGGACGUGUCCUUCAUUGCAGGUACCGCAUGAAUAAGGACCGGCUAAUUCCG
rnacentral:rRNA from 1 species